rnacentral:rRNA from 1 species
AUUGAACGCUGGCGGCAGGCCUAACACAUGCAAGUCGAACGAGUGGCGGACGGGUGAGUAAUGUCUGGGAAACUUCCUGAUGGCGGGGGAUAACUACUGGAAACGGUAGCUAAUACCGCAUACCAUCAGAUGUGCCCAGAUGGGAUUGGCUUGUUGGUGGGGUAACGUCUCACCACGGCGACGAUCCCUAGCUGGUCUGAGAGGAUGACCAGCCACACUGGAACUUAGACACGGUCCAGACUCCUACGGGAGGCAGCAGUGGGGAAUAUUGCACAAUGGGCGCAAGCCUGAUGCAGCCAUGCCGCGUUUAUGAAGAAGGCCUGCGGGUUGGAAAGUACUUUCAGCGGGGAGGCGUUACCCGCAGAAGAAGCACCGGCUAACUCCGUGCCAGCAGCCGCGGUAAUAC